rnacentral:rRNA from 1 species
CCUAACCACUUAUAUAACCCAACAAUGUUCCUAACAAAACAUGACCUAACACCAAAAAUUAAACCAUUUUUUUACCUAAGUAUGGGAGACAGAAAAGGUUCCACCUAGAGCAAUAGAAAAAGUACCGCAGGGGAAAGCUGAAAGAGAAAUGAAAUAACCCAUAUCAGCACAAAGAAACAAAGACUAAACCUU